AAUAGAUACCCCGGUAGUCCACGCUGUAAACGGUGGGUACUAGGUGUGGGGUCCAUUCCACGGGUUCCGCGCCGUAGCUAACGCUUUAAGUACCCCGCCUGGGGAGUACGGCCGCAAGGCUAAAACUCAAAGGAAUUGACGGGGCCCCGCACAAGCGGCGGAGCAUGCGGAUUAAUUCGAUGCAACGCGUAGAACCUUACCUGGGUUUGACAUGGAUCGGGAGUGCUCAGAGAUGGGUGUGCCUCUUUUGGGGUCGGUUCACAGGUGGUGCAUGGCUGUCGUCAGCUCGUGUCGUGAGAUGUUGGGUUAAGUCCCGCAACGAGCGCAACCCUUGUUCACUGUUGCCAGCACGUUAUGGUGGGGACUCAGUGGAGACCGCCGGGGUCAACUCGGAGGAAGGUGGGGAUGACGUCAAGUCAUCAUGCCCCUUAUGUCCAGGGCUUCACGCAUGCUACAAUGGCUGGUACAGAGAGUGGCGAGCCUGUGAGGGUGAGCGAAUCUCGGAAAGCCGGUCUCAGUUCGGAUUGGGGUCUGCAACUCCG
rnacentral:rRNA from 1 species